GUGGUUCAGUGGUAGAAUGCUCGCCUGCCACGUGGGCGGCCCGGGUUCAAUUCAUGCAUUUUUUUACA